rnacentral:lncRNA from 1 species
UUGACUUUCAUGUGGAUCUGGAUGGUUUAACUGGUGGGUGUAAGAUGUUUGACUUCACGAUAAUGAUUGCCAUCGGUUGCGGCUUACUGAUCGUCGCUUUUGUGCUGAUGGGUGUUAUCAUCUCUCUUUGCUGCACAAUAGCCAACACACUGAAAGCUCCAAUGGUACCUGCUUGUUUGGCCUUAAAAAAUAAUCCAGCCAUGGUCACCCAGGACAAGGUCGCCACAGCCAUCACCACUGGGUCUUAUCCCAACCUCCAAUGCUGUGAUGAGUGUCGCUUGUAUGCCGACUUUGAUUCCCUGCCACCGUGCUUCUGUGACGUAAACGAGGGACUCUGA